ensembl:lncRNA
CCCCAGUGUUUAGUACUCCCCUCCCUGUGUCCAUGUGUUCUCAUUUUUCAUCACCCACCUAUGAGCGAGAAUAUGCGGUGUUUCAUUUUCUGUUCUUGUGUCAGUUUGCUGAGGAUGACGUUCUCCAGAUUCAUCCAUGUGUUCUCAUUUUUCAUCACCCACCUAUGAGUGAGAAUAUGCGGUGUUUCAUUUUCUGUUCUUGUGUCAGUUUGCUGAGGAUGACGUUCUCCAGAUUCAUCCAUGUCCCUACAGACGACACAAACUCAUCAUUUCUGAUUGCUGCAUAAUAUUCCAUAAUGUAUAUGUGCCACAUUUUCCCAAUCCAGUCUGUUAUCAAUGGGCAUUUUGGUUGACUCCGGGUCUUUGCUAUUGUAAACAGUGCUGCAAUGAACAUUCGUGUCCAUGUGUUCUUAUAGUAGAACGAUUUAUAGUCUUUUGGAUAUAUACCCAGUAAUGGGAUUGCUGGGUCAAAUGGAAUUUCUAUUUCUAAGGCCUUGAGGAAUCGCCACACUGUCUUCCACAAUGGUUGAACUAAUUUACACUCCCACCAACAGUGUAAAAGUGUUCCAUUUUCUCCACAUCCUCUCCAGCAUCUGUUGUCUCCAGAUUUUUUAAUGAUCGCCAUUCUAACUGGCGUGAGAUGGUAUCUCAAUGUGGUUUUGAUUUGCAUCUCUCUGAUGACCAGUGACGAUGAGCAUUUUUUCAUAUGAUUGUUGGCCUCAUAUAUGUCUUCUUUCGUAAAGUGUCUGUUCAUAUUCUUUGCCCACUUUUGAAUGGGCUUCUUUGUUUUUUUCCUGUAAAUCUGUUUGAGUUUUUUGUAAAUUCUGGAUAUCAGCCCUUUGUCAGAUGGGUAGACUGCGAAAAUUUUUUCCCAUUCUGUUGGUUGCCGAUCCACUCUAGUGACUGUUUCUUUUGCCGUGCAGAAGCUGUGGAGUUUCAUUAGGUCCCAUUUGUCUAUUUUGGCUUUUGUUGCCAAUGCUUUUGGUGUUUUGUUCAUAAAGUCCUUGCCUACUCCUAUGUCCUGGAUAGUUUUGCCUAGAUUUCCUUCUAGGGUUUUUAUGGUGCCAGGUCUUAUGUUUAAGUCUUUAAUCCAUCUGGAGUGAAUUUUAGUGUAAGGUGUCAGGAAGGGGUCCAGUUUCUGCUUUCUGCACAUGGCUAGCCAGUUUUCCAAACACCAUUUGUUAAACAUGGAAUCCUUUCCCCAUUGCUUGUUUUUGUCAGGUUUAUCAAAGAUUGUAUAGUUGUAUGUAUGUUGUGUUGCCUCCGGUGCCUCUGUAUUGUUCCAUUGGUCUAUAUCUCUGUUUUGGUACCAGUACCACGCUGUUUUGAUUACUGUAGCCUUGUAGUAUAGUUUGAAAUCCGGUAGUGUGAUGCCCACCGCUUUGUCCUUUUUGCUUAGAAUUGACUUGGCUUUAUGGGCUCUCUUUUGGUUCCAUAUGAAGUUCAUGGUGGUUUUUUCCAGUUCUGUGAAGAAAGUCAGUGGUAGCUUGAUGGGGAUAGCAUUGAUUCUGUAAAUUACUUUGGGCAGUAUAGCCAUUUUCACGAUAUUAACUCUUCCUAACCAUGAACAUGGAAUGUUUCUCCAUCUGUUUGUGUCCUCUCUGAUUUCGUUGAGCAGCGGUUUGUAGUUCUCCUUGAAGAGGUCUCUUACGUU